GGUCAUCGCGCUUGGUUG
rnacentral:sRNA from 1 species